UACAGAGGGUGCGAGCGUUGUUCGGAAUUAUUGGGCGUAAAGGGCGCGUAGGCGGUGCCACAAGUCACUUGUGAAAUCUCCGGGCUUAACUCGGAGCCUGCAGGCGAAACUGUGGUGCUGGAGUAUGGGAGAGGUGCGUGGAAUUCCCGGUGGUAGCGGUGAAAUGCGUAGAUAUCGGGAGGAACACCUGUGGCGAAAGCGGCGCACUGGACCAUAACUGACGCUGGAGGCGCGAAAGCUAGGGGAGCAAACGGG
rnacentral:rRNA from 1 species